rnacentral:rRNA from 1 species
CACAGAGGGGGCGAGCGUUGUUCGGAAUUACUGGGCGUAAAGGGCGCGUAGGCGGCCUUCUAAGUCGGACGUGAAAUCCCCAGGCUCAACCUGGGAACUGCGUCCGAUACUGGAUGGCUUGAAUCCGGGAGAGGGAUGCAGAAUUCCAGGUGUAGCGGUGAAAAUGCGUAGAUAUCUGGAGGAAUACCGGUGGCGAAGGCGGCAUCCUGGACCGGCAUUGACGCUGAGGAGCGAAAGCCAGGGGAGCAAAGCGGG